rnacentral:rRNA from 1 species
AAGGAGCUUGCUCCUUUGACGUUAGCGGCGGACGGGUGAGUAACACGUGGGUAACCUACCUAUAAGACUGGGAUAACUUCGGGAAACCGGAGCUAAUACCGGAUAAUAUUUCGAACCGCAUGGUUCGAUAGUGAAAGAUGGUUUUGCUAUCACUUAUAGAUGGACCCGCGCCGUAUUAGCUAGUUGGUAAGGUAACGGCUUACCAAGGCGACGAUACGUAGCCGACCUGAGAGGGUGAUCGGCCACACUGGAACUGAGACACGGUCCAGACUCCUACGGGAGGCAGCAGUAGGGAAUCUUCCGCAAUGGGCGAAAGCCUGACGGAGCAACGCCGCGUGAGUGAUGAAGGUCUUCGGAUCGUAAAACUCUGUUAUUAGGGAAGAACAUACGUGUAAGUAACUGUGCACGUCUUGACGGUACCUAAUCAGAAAGCCACGGCUAACUACGUGCCAGCAGCCGCGGUAAUACGUAGGUGGCAAGCGUUAUCCGGAAUUAUUGGGCGUAAAGCGCGCGUAGGCGGUUUUUUAAGUCUGAUGUGAAAGCCCACGGCUCAACCGUGGAGGGUCAUUGGAAACUGGAAAACUUGAGUGCAGAAGAGGAAAGUGGAAUUCCAUGUGUAGCGGUGAAAUGCGCAGAGAUAUGGAGGAACACCAGUGGCGAAGGCGACUUUCUGGUCUGUAACUGACGCUGAUGUGCGAAAGCGUGGGGAUCAAACAGGAUUAGAUACCCUGGUAGUCCACGCCGUAAACGAUGAGUGCUAAGUGUUAGGGGGUUUCCGCCCCUUAGUGCUGCAGCUAACGCAUUAAGCACUCCGCCUGGGGAGUACGACCGCA